UUAGCUGAAGGAGAGAAGCUACUUCUACACUCUGUGCAACCUGAUUGGUUAAAAGGUAAGCAUAUGUAUUCAUGGCCUUCUAAUGGUAGAUCAUGGAUUGAUUGGGUAGAUAGAGUUGAGAAGGCCAAAGGGGAAGUCUGGAAAUCAGCUGAUAUAUAUGAUGCCAUUCAGUUGUCGAAAAAUGCUAUCCCCAAGGACGAAAAUCUUCUGUUUGCUGCCUUGUGCUAUUGGUCAUUCUCCACAAACUCGUUCCACUUCAGAUUUGGUAUGAUGGGGCCAACAGUACUAGAUAUUGUUGCUUUGACAGGACUUAGGCCACAUGGGGAGGAAGUCAGUUCCAUUCUUGGGAUGGCUGGAUCGACUUGUCAUUUUCCCCAUCAUGGAACAAUUUAUCAUAAUUCCAUAGUUUACAACAAGUAUCUUGACGUGUCCAAGGCAGAAACAGAUGUGACACAGGAAGAACAUAUAUCUUUUCUGUUUACAUGGCUCAGCCAGCAUCUGUUUUGUGACUCUUCUGUCAGCAUGAUCAAGCAAUGCACAAAGCUGGCAUUUGUUCUUGCUUCGGGUAGAAAGCUUGCUUUGGCACCCUUUCUCUUGUCUAAUUUAUAUCAUGGAUGCACUGAAAUCAUUAUGGGCAGGUUUAUGUAUGAAAGAGGUCCAUUCUGGAUCAUGCAGUUCUGGCUACAGUCUUACUUCCCUGAAUUCCGACCUGCUACUUUGGAUAACUGUACUUUCCCCACCUAUGGGUACCCCUUGGCUGAAGGUGUGUUGAGACGUAAAUCAUUCGAGGAAUACUUCCGCUUUUUUCAUAAAUGUGCAUCUAGAACUAUCAGCCAAUUCACCCCGUUUUCUUCUAGGAAGUUUGGACCUGUGUGGUUUCAGAAGUCACUUUAUCCUAACUUCCAAAAACUUAAUAAGCCAGAGCUACAAGAUAUUUGGGCCAGUUAUCUCAUUGCUCGAGACCUCCCUUACAGUAUCCUUCUGGAUGAAUCUUUGAAGUGCAAAUAUGGGGUAGAACAUUAUUCUCCAAAUCAGUUUGCCCGACAGUUCGGUAUGACUCAGGCUGUCCCCUUCCACCAAUCAGCCAAUAAACUUCCAAUUAGAAGAAAAGAUUUCCAGUCUGCAGAUUACACUGAAGAAACUGAAUCAAGAUUUGUCCAAUCGAAAAGGAAGUUUUCAUUUGUUCCAUUUGAUACUAAUCCUAGCUCUACUGAGUUCUUUGAUUCCUGGUGGUCCACUUACAUCCGUACUCGGGACAAGACUGUUAUUGAUACCCUCAGGAAGAUCUCAACGCAAGUCAUGCUCCUCCAUAAUAUGAAGAGGAAAUAUGAAGGUCUGAUAACCUUCCUGAUGAAACAAAUUAUAAGAUUUCUAUUUUGCGGAACAAAUGAUAGAGCCGUCAAAAUGCAUUUGACUUAUUGGCGAUUGUUGCAUAUAUCAUCACAUUAGAUGUUGUGAUAGGUUUCAAUGUUCUCUCUCAUUUUUGUCCUUUUCUCAGUUUCAUUUCUGAUUCUGAUUUUGAGGUCUUGUAUUGCCUCCUUAAUUGCUUUCAGGGGAUAGUAUUCCAUUGCAAUCUUCUGCUCAGCAAGAUGAGCCCAUACAACAAAAGAACUUGAAUGAGGCAGCUGAAAAGAUACCUACAACAACAUUAUGCAAGGUAAAAAUUCCCACCCCCAAACAAGCCUCUGGGAUUAUAAUGGUAUGGAUUGGCCUGAUUCCUUCACUUUACCAUUUAUUGACUUUUCAGAAGACGAAGACUUACUCGAGGAAAUUGUCACCAGGCUCAACUUCUGACAUACCUUCUACAUCAGCCUUCCCUACAAGUUGUACACCUGCUAAUGAAGACAGGACUGAGGCAGACAUCCAAGUUUCCGCUGUUACACCAAUCUCCGCUUCUGACAAAGUAAGUUCCCCUUAUUACUUCUGUUGUUACGUCCGGUAGUUGGUUACUUCAUCUAAUUUUGAGAGCCUUUUCUAUUCAGGAUGUCGAGGAAGUCACAGUUUCCCCAUCCUUAGAUAAUACCAGAAGCAAGGCAUCUGAUAUUAGUCAACCACCUGACUGUCCUUUGAAAUUUGAUAAUCUAGAAGACUUCUUUUCUCGAGUUAGUGGAAAAAUUAAAUGUGCUCAAUCUCUCGGUUUUUCUGCUGAUCAAUCUUCUCCCAUAGAUGACAAGAAAUCCACCACACAGAAGUCUACACCGUCAGCAGAAAUGCUUGCCACAGCUAAAGGUGAUAUUAAGAGAUUACUACUCAUACCUUCUCAAGUCAUGCUUCUACCCGGAAACUGUUCAGCAUUAAGCGCAGCACUAUCAGUACAUGCUGGGGCACCGGAUUUAUCAGCUGAGAGAGCGCUUGCCUUGGAGAAACUCAAAGAGAACAUUCCACACUUUUCCUUGACCAUGCGUAGAGCUAAGAAGGAUCAAGAGGAGUAUUAUAAGAAGGUUUCCAAGCAAGUGCUCGCAGCACUAUCAGUACAUGCUGGAGUACCGGAUUUAUCAGCUGAGAGAGCGCUUGCCUUGGAGAAACUCAAAGAGAACAUUCCACACUUUUCCUUGACCAUGCGUAGAGCUAAGAAGGAUCAAGAGGAGUAUUAUAAGAAGGUUUCCAAGCAAGUGCUCCUCAUCGACGAGCUCACAAAAUAUCAAGAACUCUAUACUAACCUCAAAGAUAGCAACGACAAACUUGAAUACAAAAUCAGCAAGCUGGAGGCAAGAUUGAAGGCUGCAAAGACAAAAAGAGAAGCAAUCCAGCAGCAACAAUUGAGUUUGGCCAAGAAUUGUUCUGGAAAGUUUAAUGCUCUUGAUGACAUGGAAGCUGAGUUACCUGUCCUGAAGGAGAUGAAGGAGCUAGCUGAUUGGGAUGUCGCUCGAUUGGAAGAAAGCUUGAGUGACUUCAAGAGUAAGAUAAUCGAGUGAUCGCUUGUUAUAAAUCGUUCUUCAUGUGAAUUUGCUGGCUAGUAAGAGCAUGUAAAUAUAUUUUGCUAUGUACUAACUUUCUCACUUUUGAAUGGCAUACCUAAGUAUGGCCAAGCUAAUCCAAACAUGUAAAGUGAAACCAGUAGUGUACUUCUAGUUAUGUUUUUUGGUGGCACAGGUUGAUGGAACAAUGAGCAUGAAUGCUUCAAAAUAGCACUAAUUUAGAUGUGAUGACAUGGUACAAACUACAAAAUGUACAUAGCUACCCCUUUGAUCUCUAAUCUAAGUGUAGUUUCAUUACAUUUGUUUUUGUGUGAAGUAUUUCUUCUACUGUCUUGGCAGUGUUAUCAACUACUCUAUCUGGUUUCUAUUACCUCCUAUAAAUAACUGUUCAUAAUAAGAGAAAUUAAUAAGAGAUCUGGUCUGUUACAACAACUUAAAUUACACUCUAUUUGAUUUGGCAUGUUUUUUAAGAAAAAAUUAAAAGUUUUUAAAACUAGUGGUACUAAUAUUAGUGCGUAAAUCAAUUGUAUACAAGAUAAACACCAGGAAAGAGAUAUUCGUUGGGCCAAGAGCACCCUCCUUGAGUUAAAGCUUUCAGGCCUAGUUGACCAAAACGAGAACUUUUAAUAAUGGAAAUAUGACAUUUUUUUUGGAGGGCUAAAAGACAAAAUUGUUCACAUAAAUUUAGUCUGGUGGCAAAUACUCGCUUGUUCAAUUUUGACUUUUUACUUGUUAUUUUUGACAAAUCAAGAAAAAAUAAUAUUUAUUUAUUAAUGAUAUCCUCAAUUUAUUUAGAGAGUUAAUAUUUUUGAAAAAAAGUAAAAACUCUUUAAUGAAUAAAUUGAUUUUGAAAUUCUAUCAAUUAAUAGAAAUAAAAUAAUAAACUCACUAUAUCAAUUAUUAUUUUUUUAAUAGGUGUAUCAAGUAAAAAAUAGACAAAUUAUUAGGAAUUGAGAGAGUUUAAGUUAAAACAGAGGGGGCAAUGAUUUGACAGUAGUUACAGGUUUCUAAGAGCCUCACUUUCUCUGUAUUUAUUUGAAAUAAGCUAAAAGAGUCUUUUGAUAACUUUUGAAUAUAAGUUAAACAGUCAGAAAAAAAAAAAAAACCUCUCUCCUUGUCAAGAACAAGCAAUUUCAGCUAUGAGGUAACUUUUUUUUUUCUUCUAAUAGUAAUCCAUUAGUUUUAGAGUUAAAAUGGGUAAAAACACUCCUAAAUUAUCAGUUGUGUGAAUUUUCUAUGGAAUUAUUAUGGAAUGUUUAUAGAAACACACUUCAACUAUGGAUGGUUCACUUUUCAGUAUUUGAAUAAUGAUGAUAUUUUAGGUAGGAAAGGUGAACAAAUGAUAAGAUAGUUGAGGUGCGUUUUGAUAAAUAUUUGGGGAUAGUUUUAGGCAAGAAACUCACAUAAUUGAUAGUUUAGAUAUAAAAUUCAAAAAAUUUGUAAUACAAGUGUGCCUUUUAGUUUUAUAUAUUCUACAAGUUGUGUAUUUAAGUUGAAGUAAUGUAUAUUGUUUAUUCAAGAUGUAAUUUUUUUUUUCUUUUUUGUGAACGUUGCAUUAUAACUAUGGUUUUCUUGAACUUGCAUGAAAAAUGAUUUUCAAUUUGUAGUGGUACAUAUCAAUUAUCACCCUUUAUGGGGCAAAAUGGGUUGCUCAGGUGGUAAGCACCCUCCAUCUUCAUCCUUAUGGUUGUGGGUUCGAGCAACUGAAAGGGCAAAAAAGUGGAAGCUCCUACGGCAAAGUUAAAAAAAAAGUAAACUUUAUAGUUCAAUGGCUCUCUCAUUGUGGAAUUUCAAAUGCUUUAGUGGAGUACUUUUAUAUGUAUAAUUUUGCUAUUUCUUCUUGGAAAGGACUUGGUGUGGCCUAGCAGGGAAACUAAAUGGUAGAUUUAGUUCAUAUUUGUUUGGUUUGACAAAACAAAUAAAAUGAUGAUAUCCAUUUAUUUGCUGCUGAUAUUAAGAUGCUCCAGUAAGGAGGUGCGAGAGGUUGGAUAUAAAGGGUGCGAGGAGAGGUAGAGGUAGGCCAAAAAACUAUUAAUGAGAGGUUAUUAGAAAGAACAUGACACAACUCCACUUUAUUGAAGACAUGACCUUAGAUAGGGGGUCGCGGAUUACGGUGCAAGCUUAAUAGGUGGUGGAGUGUUCUAUUGCUUCCUGAAGGGUUUAGGCUUAGUGGUGUCUGUCAUAGUAGUAGCUUUAUUCUUGUACUGUCUUGCUUUUGCUUUCUACUGCCAUCUAUUUUUAUGAUAUUUCCAUUAUUGCAUUAUUUUGUUGUUAUUACUGUUUUUGUAGUAGUUGCUAUAUUUUCUACUGUCAUUUUUCCUUUUCAUACUUAAUUUGAUUGUUGUACACGAGUCAAGGGUCUUCCGAAAACAGCCUCUCUACUUCCACGAAGUAAUGGUAAGUUCUGCGUACACUCUACCCUCCCUAGACCCAGCUUGUGGGAUUUCAUUGGUUAUGUUGUUGUUGUUUAGACCGAGAGCACUUGAUAAGGAAUCUUUUUGAAGAGCAUAUAAUGUAGCAGGCUGUUUAAUGUGAGAACAUAUUGUGAGUAGAUGAUUGAAUUCAAUCUUAGUGAAACAGCUUUCAGCAUGUGUGUUCCUUGUUUCCUUGUUUACGCCUAAAAGUUAAUAAUUCUAAUAGUUUAAAGAACUCAAAUUACGUGUUCACGUCUGCAGGUUUUUCUCUGAGACGUUUACAAUCUUUUUCUUCUUAACCUGCUCCAUCUGAGAAAAGUACUAGAAAUGGCAAAAGAUAAAGUUGCAAGUUUAGGCUCUGAAGUUUUCCGGUCAAAGGAAAAAUUGGCCAAGAAAAUGCAAGAGUUGAACAAAGAGCUGAUAGUUGACGAGACAAUUGUUCCUAUUCCUGGAUCACCCUCUAAUUUUAUAUUAGGUCCAUGUUUUAAGACUAUGCUUCCUACGGAGCUCUCGUCUAUUUACCCUUUGGCUGAAGGAGAGAAGCUACUUCUACACUCCGUGAAACUUGAUUGGUUCAAAGGUAAGUAUCAGUAUUCAUGGCCUUCUUAUUGUAGCUUAUGGAUUGAUUGGGUAGAUAGAGUUGAGAAGGCCAAAGGGGAAGUCUGGAAAUCAGCUGAUAUAUAUGAUGCCAUUCAGUUGUCAAAAAAUGAUAUCCUGAUGGACAAAAAUCUUCUGUAUGCUGCUUUAUGCUAUUGGUCAAUCUCCACAAACUCGUUCCACUUCAGAUUUGGCAUGAUGGGGCCAACAGUACUAGAUAUUGUUGCUUUGACAGGACUUAGGCCACAUGGGGAGGAAGUCAGUGCCAUUCUUGGGAUGGCUGGAUCGACUUGUCAUUUUCCUCAUCAUGGAACAAUUUAUUAUAAUUCCUUAACUUACAACAAGUAUCUUGAUGUGUCAAAGUCAGAAACAGCUGUGACAAAGGAAGAACAUAUAUCUUUUCUGUUUACAUGGCUCAGUAAGCAUCUGUUUUGUUACUCUUCUGUAAACAUGAUUAAGCAAUGCACAAAACUGGCAUUCGCUCUUGCUGCGGGUAGAAAGCUUGCUUUGGCACCUUUUCUCUUGUCUAAUUUAUAUCAUGGAUGCACUGAAAUCAUUAUGAGCAAGUUUCUUUAUGGAAGAGGUCCAUUCUGGAUCUUGCAAUUCUGGCUACAGUCUUACUUUCCAGAACUCCAACCUGCUACUUUGGAUACCUGUAAUUUCCCCACCUGUGCUACUUUCGAGGAAUACUUCCGCUUUUUUCAUAAAUGUGCAUCUAGAACUAUCAGCCAAUUCACCCCGUUUUCUUCUAGGAAGUUUGGACCUGUGUGGUUUCAGAAGUCACUUUAUUCUAACUUCCAAAAACUUAAUAAGCCAGAGCUACAAGAUAUUUGGGCCAGUUAUCUCAUUGCUCGAGACCUCCCUUACAGUAUCCUUCUGGAUGAAUCUUUGAAGUGC
rnacentral:lncRNA from 1 species